rnacentral:rRNA from 1 species
GACGAACGCUGGCGGCGUGCUUAACACAUGCAAGUCGAACGGUGAAGCGAGUGCUUGCACUCGUGGAUCAGUGGCGAACGGGUGAGUAACACGUGAGUAACCUGCCCAUCACUCUGGGAUAAGCACUGGAAACGGUGUCUAAUCCUGGAUACGACCAACCCUUGCAUGGGGUGUUGGUGGAAAGAUUUAUCGGUGAUGGAUGGACUCGCGGCCUAUCAGCUUGUUGGCGGGGUAAUGGCCCACCAAGGCGACGACGGGUAGCCGGCCUGAGAGGGUGACCGGCCACACGGGGACUGAGACACGGCCCAGACGCCUACGGGAGGCAGCAGUGGGGAAUAUUGCACAAUGGGCGAAAGCCUGAUGCAGCGACGCCGCGUGAGGGAUGACGGCCUUCGGGUUGUAAACCUCUUUCAGCAGGGAAGAAGCGAAAGUGACGGUACCUGCAGAAGAAGCACCGGCUAACUACGUG